UGGGGAAUUUUGCGCAAUGGGCGCAAGCCUGACGCAGCAACGCCGCGUGGAGGAUGAAGGUUUUCGGAUUGUAAACUCCUGUCCCGGGGAAAGAAGGCAGUGACGGUACCCUGGGAGGAAGCCCCGGCUAACUCCGUGCCAGCAGCCGCGGUAAUACGGGGGGGGCGAGCGGUGUUCCGAAUAAAUGGGCGUAAAGGGCGCGUAGGCGGCCUGGGCAGUCCUGGGUGAAAGCCCCCGGCUCAACCGGGGAAGGGCCUGGGAAACCACUGGGCUGGAGUGCUGGAGAGGGAGGCGGAAUUCCUGGUGUAGCGGUGAAAUGCGUAGAGAUCAGGAGGAACAUCGGCGGCGAAGGCGGCCUUCUGGACAGACACUGACGCUGAGGCGCGAAAGCCGGGGGAGCAAACAG
rnacentral:rRNA from 1 species